GACGAACGCUGGCGGCGUGCCUAACACAUGCAAGUCGAACGGAAAGGCCCUGCUUUUGUGGGGUGCUCGAAUGGCGAGCGGGUGAGUAACAAGUGAGUAACAAGCCCUUGACUGUGGGGUAACUUCUGGAGACUAGGGCUAAUACCGGAGAGGAGCUUCUGCAGCAUGGUGGGGGUUGGAAAGGUUCGGCGGUUCGUGAUGGACUCGCGGCUUAUCAGCUUGUUGGGGGGGUAGUGGCUUACCGCGGCGUUGACGGGUAGACGGCCUGGGAGGGUGACCGGCCACAUUGGGACUACGGUAGGGCGCAGACUCCAACGGGGGGCAGCAGUGGGAAAUAUUGCGCAGUGGGGGGACGCGUGAUGCAGCAACGCUGCGUGCGGGAUGACGUCCUACGGGUGGUAAACCGAUUUCGCCUGUGACGAAGCGUGAGUGACGUUAAUGGGUAAAGAAGCACCGGCUAACUACGUG
rnacentral:rRNA from 1 species